UGAACCUGGGAGGCAAAGGUUGCAGUGAGCCGAGAUUGCACCCGCCACUGCGCUCCAGCCUAGCGACAGAGCAAGACUCCAUCUCAAAAUUUUUUUUGACUCCACUUUCCCCACCAGCUAUUGCCCCAUUCCUCUGCUCACCUUUGCAGCAAAAUUCCUUGAAAUAGCUGUCUAUACUAAGUGCGUCCAAUUUUUUUUCUCCUGUUCUCUCUUUAAAUCCCUCUGGCCAAUCUUUUACUCCCACACUCCACUGAACUAUUCUUGUCAAGGUCAUCAAUAGCCUUGGUGUUGCUGGACCCUAAUGGUUAUUCUCAGUCCUUCUCUUAUUUAGCCUUUUGGUAGCAUUUGACCUGGUUGAUCACUCCUUCCUCCUGGAUACAUUUUCUUCAUUUGCAUUGGAGAGAACAUACUCUCCUGGUAUUUCUUCCACCUCACUGGUUCAUCCUCUUCUCUCCAAUAAUUCUUUUUUUUUUUUCUUUUUUGAGACAGUCUUGCUCUGUCACCCAGGCUGGAGUACAGUGGUGCGAUCUCGGCUCACUGCAACCUCCGCCUCCCAGGUUCAAGCAAUUCUCCUGCCUCAGCCUCCCAAGUAGCUGGGAUUACAGGCGCCCGCCACCACGCCUGGCUAACUUUUUGUAUUUUUAGUAGAGAUGGGAUUUCACCGUGUUAACCAGGCUGGUCUCGAUCUCCUGACCUCAUGAUCCACCUGCCUCAGCCUCCCAAAGUGCUGGGAUUACAGGCAUGAGCCACAGCGCCCAGCAAGCCUCCAAUAAUUCUUAACGUUAGAGUAACCACAGUAGAGUUGUCCUCUUGUCUUUUGUAUCCAUAGGCACUCCUUUGAUGAUCUCAUCCAGCCGAAUGACUUCAAAUACCACUCAUUCUAGUAAUGCCCAAUUUUUUAAAUCUCCAGCCCUUUUUAAAAAAACUCUUAACUCAUAUAUCUAUUUCUCCUUGACAUCUCCCCUCAGAAGUCUAAUGGAUGCCUCCAACCAAAAAUGUCCAAAAUUGAAUUUCUGAGCCGGGCAUGGUGGCUUAUGCUUGUAAUCCCAGCACUUUGGGAGCCUGAGGUAGCAGGAUCGCUUGAGCCCAGGAGUUCAACACCAGCCAUGACAACAUAGUGAGACCCCAUCUCUACAAAAAAUUUAAAAAUUAGUAGCCAGGUGCAGUGGCUCACGUCUAUAAUCCCAGCACUUUGGGAGGCCGAGGGUGGGCGGAUCACCUGAGGUCAGAAGUUCGAGACCAGCCUAGCCAACAUGGCAAAACCCCGUCUCUACUAAAAAUACAAAAAUUAGCUGGGUGUGGUGGCAGGCGCCUGUAAUCCCAGCUACUUGAGAGGCUGAGGCAGGGAUAAUUGCUUGAACCUGAGAGGCGGAGGUUGCAGUGAGCUGACAUCGUGCCAUUGCACUCCAGCCUGGGCAAGACUCUGUCUCAAAUAAUAAUAAUAAUAAAAUAAAAAAUAAAAAUUAGCUGGGCAUGGUGGCAUGUGCCUGUAGUCCUAGCUACUCAAGAGGAUUGCUUGAGGCUGGAAGGUUGAGGCUGCAGUGAGCCUUGGUCGUACCACUGCACUCCAGCCUGGGCAACAGUGUGAGACCCUAUCUCAAAAACAAAAACAAACAAAAAACAUAAGUGUCAAUCCUUUGCUCAAAACCCCGAAGUAUAUGCCUCUCAACAUAAAAGCCAAAGUCUUUUCAAGGGACUACAAGCUCUUUAACCUCUUCCUCUCCUCCUUGCCCACUCUGCUCCAGCCAAGAUAGCUUUCUUACUCUUCUGACAUGCCAGGCACAUUCCUGCCUUAAGGCAUUUCCACUGUUUCCUCUUCCUGAAAUGUUCUCCCCCUAGAUAUCCACACAUGGCUUAACCCCUAUAAAAUAUCACCUUCUCAAUAAGACCUACUCUGGGGCUGGGUGCAGUGGCUCAUGCCUGUAAUCCCAGCACUUUGGGAGGCCAAAGUGGGUGGAUCACAAGGUCAGGAGAUGGAGACCAUCCUGGCUAACACGGUGAAACCUCGUCUCUACUAAAAAUACAAAAAAUUAGCCAGGUGUGGUGGCAGGUGCCUGCAGUCCCAGCUACUCAGGAGGCUGAGGCAGGAGAAUAGCUUGAACCCAGGAGGCGGAGGUUGCAGUGAGCCAAGAUCACACCACUGCACUCCAGCCUGGGCGAGAGAGCAAGACUCGAUCUCCAAAAAAAAAAAAAGAAAAAAUCAAUUAGAUUAAAAAAGCAAA
rnacentral:lncRNA from 10 species